CCUACGGGAGGCAGCAGUGAGGAAUAUUGGUCAAUGGGCGCGAGCCUGAACCAGCCAAGUCGCGUGAAGGAUGACUGCCCUACGGGUUGUAAACUUCUUUUAUGAAGGAAUAAAGUGAGGCACGUGUGCCUUUUUGUAUGUACUUUAUGAAUAAGGAUCGGCUAACUCCGUGCCAGCAGCCGCGGUAAUACGGAGGAUCCGAGCGUUAUCCGGAUUUAUUGGGUGUAAAGGGAGCGUAGAUGGUUUGUUAAGUCAGUUGUGAAAGUUUGCGGCUCAACCGUAAAAUUGCAAUUGAUACUGGCAGCCUUGAGUACAGGUGAGGUAAGCGGAAUUCGUGGUGUAGCGGUGAAAUGCUUAGAUAUCACGAAGAACUCCGAUUGCGAAGGCAGGUUACUAAACUGCCACUGACAUUGAGGCUCGAAAGUGUGGGUAGCAAACAGGAUUAGAUACCCCAGUAGUC
rnacentral:rRNA from 1 species